rnacentral:rRNA from 1 species
UACGUAGGGCGCGAGCGUUGUCCGGAAUUAUUGGGCGUAAAGAGCUCGUAGGCCGGCCGGUUGCGUCUGCUGUGAAAUCCCGGGGCCUUAACCCCGGGCGUGCAGUGGAUACGGGCCGGCUGGAGGCAGGCAGGGGAGAAUGGAAUUCCCGGUGUAGCGGUGAAAUGCGCAGAUAUCGGGAGGAACACCGGUGGCGAAGGCGGUCUCUGGGCCUGUACUGACGCUGAGGAGCGAAAGCGUGGGGAGCGAACAGG